GAUGAAGAACGUAGCGAAAUGCGAUAAGUAGUGUGAAUUGCAGAAUUCAGUGAAUCAUCGAAUCUUUGAACGCACAUUGCGCCCCUUGGUAUUCCAUGGGGCAUGCCUGUUCGAGCGUCAUUUGUACCUUCAAGCUUUGCUUGGUGUUGGGUGUUUGUCCAUUCUCUUGCAGAGGGACUCGCCUUAAAGUAAUUGGCAGCCAGUGUUUUGGUUUUGAAGCGCAGCACAAGUCGCGAUUCAACGCUAUACGCCAGCUUCCACAAGCCUUUUUCACUUUUGACCUCGGAUCAGGUAGGGAUACCCGCUGAACUUAAGCAUAUCAAUAAGCGGAGA
rnacentral:misc_RNA from 1 species